CACGUAGGGUGCGAGCGUUGUCCGGAAUUAUUGGGCGUAAAGAGCGUGUAGGCGGCCAGGUAGGUCGGUUGUGAAAACUGGAGGCUCAACCUUCAGAGGUCGACCGAAACCAUCUGGCUAGAGUCCGGGAGAGGAGAGUGGAAUUCCUGGUGUAGCGGUGAAAUGCGCAGAUAUCAGGAAGAACACCCGUGGCGAAAGCGGCUCUCUGGAACGGUACUGACGCUGAGACGCGAAAGCGUGGGGAGCGAACAGG
rnacentral:rRNA from 1 species